UGGGGAAUUUUGGACAAUGGGGGAAACCCUAAUCCAGCCAUCCCGCGUGUGCGAUGAAGGCCUUCGGGUUGUAAAGCACUUUUGGCAGGAAAGAAAUAGGCCUGGCUAAUACCUGGGCUGAAUGACGGUACCUGCAGAAUAAGCACCGGCUAACUACGUGCCAGCAGCCGCGGUAAUACGUAGGGUGCAAGCGUUAAUCGGAAUUACUGGGCGUAAAGCGUGCGCAGGCGGUUCGGAAAGAAAGGUGUGAAAUCCCAGGGCUUAACCUUGGAACUGCACUUUUAACUACCGGGCUAGAGUGUGUCAGAGGGAGGUGGAAUUCCGCGUGUAGCAGUGAAAUGCGUAGAGAUGCGGAGGAACACCGAUGGCGAAGGCAGCCUCCUGGGAUAACACUGACGCUCAGGCACGAAAGCGUGGGGAGCAAACAG
rnacentral:rRNA from 1 species